rnacentral:rRNA from 1 species
AUUGAACGCUGGCGGCAGGCCUAACACAUGCAAGUCGAGCGGAGCGGCGGACGGGCGAGUAAUGCCUAGGAAUCUGCCUGGUAGUGGGGGAUAAGGUCAGGAAAGGGGCGCUAAUAACGUAUCCUAUGUGAUGAGCCUAGGGCGGAUUAGCUAGUUGGUGGGGUAAAGGCCUAAAGAGGCGACGAUCCGUAACUGGUUUGAUAGGAUGAUCAGUCACACUGGAACUGAGACACGGUCCAGACUCCUACGGGAGGCAGCAGUGGGGAAGAUUGGACAAUGGGCGAAAGCCUGAUCCAGCCAUGCCGCGUGUGUGAAGAAGGUCUUCGGAUUGUAAAGCACUUUAAGUUGGGAGGCGUUACCAACAGAAUAAGCACCGGCUAACUUCGUGCCAGCAGCCGCGGUAAUAC